CCCUUAGAUGUUCUGGGCCGCACGCGCGCUACACUGAUUCAUGCAACAAGUUUUGUCCUUGGCUGAUAGGCCUGGGUAAUCUUUGAACGUGAAUCGUGAUGGGGAUAGAUGAUUGCAAUUAUUCAUCUUCAACGAGGAAUUCCUAGUAAACGCAAGUCAUCAGCUUGCAUUGAUUACGUCCCUGCCCUUUGUACACACCGCCCGUCGCACCUACCGAUUGAAUGGUCCGGUGAAAUCUUCGGAUCUGAGAGAUGUCUGAUUAAUUUCGGACGCCUUUUGGAAAAGUUGUUUACACCUUACCAUUUAGAGGAAGGUGAAGUCGUAACA
rnacentral:rRNA from 1 species